UAGGUUCAUUGUAGGAAUAGGGUGCGCACUUAGAUGGAAUCUAUCUCCCUUGGUAGAUAGGGGUGUUAGUCCUAUGUGAUUUAUGAGACCGAGUUUAGAAGACCUUGGCCAGGGCAGAAUAAAUAGCGGAAAAGGGUUUCCGAUAUUAGAAACUCGAGUCGAAUAAAUUUAACAUAUGACAGACGAUGGGGUUUGACGAGUUAUUCCAUAACCUCCGUCUAGUCGGGACUCAUGAUAGAAGGAUUGUAUCACACGGUAACUGCACCAAGAGGUUCAUUAUUCCAUUCUACUGGAAUGCCACUACAUGCUGCUAGGCGUCACUGGUGGAUUGUGAGACUCAUGAGAAUUAUCUAGAUGAUCGAUAAUUCUCAUUGGGCUGAGUUGGAAUUGUUCUAAUCCAUUGAAAGGAGUUUCAGUGAUAUUGUUGAUAGUGAUCAAAAUAUAUCUCACUACCAGAUAGAAUAGAACCUAUGGGGUCACACACAUAAGAGGUUGUGAUUGAUCGAAUAACUAGAUCGCGAUUAUUGAAUCGUCGGAGGAUCUAAUUGUCAAUAUAAUGAUAAUUAGGCUAAUUUGUAAUUGUUGCAAAUUAGUGGUAUUAAGGUGUAAAUGUUACAAGAGAGGACUUACUAAUAGUUAGUAAAUUAUAAGAGGACUUAUGUGCAAGUGUUGUAUUAUUAAUUUGAUAAGAUCAAAUUAAUAUAAAAUUCAAAUCGAAUCAAAUUAGGAUUUGAUCGAUCUAACCAAUUAAGGAAAAGAUAAAUUUAAAUCUAGAUUUAGCACCCCGGUGAGGACAUCGAUCAAAUCAAGAACCUCGUGUGGAUACCUAUAGAGGCCGGACGCGUGUGCGGCUUCAAGAGAAUCGAAUUCCACGAUCAUCAAAUUGAGGUGAAAAUUUAUUCGCGAAUAAGGUAAAGAUUCGAUCUUACUUUUCUCCUUUAAUCUUAAAGAACAUGAGGGAUCCUAAUUGCGUGGUUUUGGAGAUUUGAUCUCGAGAGUUUUCAAAAAUCAAAUUUGUUUGAUUUCUUUUUCCGCUGCGUUUUUACCGUACGCAAUUUUCUAACAAUGGAUGUUAAAAAAAAAAUCCGACAGAUUCGGAUUCGAUUACAGAUGUUCUAAAAAAAUCUGAACCUGAAUCCGGACCCGACCCGAACCCAAACAAAUUUAAUAUGAUAUAAUAUAUAAAAAAAUUCAAAUCAUUAGAUCUCAAUCUAAAGGUCAAAAAAAAAAACUUACACUUUUAUAACCCAAACUUAAAUACAUUUAUAUUUUUAUAACCCAAAUCCUAAUAUUCAAAUUUCAAAACCUUCCCAAGUCCUCCCCAAACCCUAAUCCGAAUCUCUAAAGAACAA
rnacentral:lncRNA from 1 species